rnacentral:rRNA from 1 species
GUCUUUUUGAGUUUAAUUUAAAGUCUAAUCUGCCCACUGAUAAAAUAUUUAAGGGCCGCAGUAUUCUGACUGUGCAAAGGUAGCAUAAUCAUUAGUCUUUUAAUUGAGGGCUUGUAUGAAUGAUUGGACGAGAUAUAAGCUGUCUCAUGAAAAUUUAAGUAGAAUUUUAUUUUUUAGUCAAAAAGCUAAAAUAAAUUUAAAAGACGAGAAGACCCUAUAGAUCUUUAUAAUUUAUUUUUAAAUUUUUUUAGGUUAUUUUUUGAAUUUAUAAAUUAAAUUAUUUUGUUGGGGUGACAAUGAAAUUUACUAAACUUUCAUUAUUUUGAAACAUUAAUUUAUGAUUAAUUGAUCCACUAUUAGUGAUUAAAAAUUUAAGUUACCUUAGGGAUAACAGCGUAAUUAUUUUGGAGAGUUCUUAUCGAUAAAAUAGUUUGCGACCUCGAUGUUGGAUUAAGAUUAAUUCUGGGUGUAGCAGUUCAGUUUAUUAAGUCUGUUCGACUUUUAAUUUCUU